GGGCGAGUAGUUCAGUGGGAGAACGCUUCCUUGACACGGAAGAGGUCGGAGGUUCAAUUCCUCUCUCGCCCACCA
rnacentral:tRNA from 1 species